rnacentral:rRNA from 1 species
ACAGGUGCUAAUNCNAAAUNACNAGUNAGAGNGNAUGCUCNANCNCUGANANGNGGCUUUNGAGCUGUCACUNAAGGAUGGGCCCNCGGUGCNUUAUCUAGUUGGUAAGGUAAUGCCUUACCNAGGNACUGAUNCAUANCCGAGUUGACANACUGAUCGACCNCANNGGGACUGAGACACGGNCCNAACUCCNACGNNANGANGGAGNNNGGAAUCUUCCNCAAUGGACGCAAGUCNGNNGGAGCNACGCCGCNUGAGUGAAGAAGGUUUUCGGAUCGNANANCUCUGUUGUUGGUGAAGAAGGACAUGGGUAGUAACUGAUCUAUGUUUGACGGUAAUCAACCAGAAAAGUCACGGACUAACUACGUGCCAUGCAGCCGCGGUAAUACGUAGGUGGCCAGCGUUGUCCGGAUUUAUUGGGCUGUAAAGCGAACGCAGGCGNNGGAGAACAAGUCAGCUGUGAAAGCCCUCGGCUUAACCGAGGAACGGCAACUGAAACUGUUUUUCUUGAGUGCAGAAGAGGAGAGUGGAACUCCAUGUGUAGCGGUGAAAUGCGUAGAUAUAUGGAAGAACGCCAGUGGCGAAGGCGGCUCUCUGGUCUGUAACUGACGCUGAGGUUCGAAAGCCUGGGUAGCUAACAGGAUUAGAUACCCUGGUAGUCCAUGCCGUAAACGAUGAGUGCUAAGUGUUGGGAGGUUUCCGCCUCUCAUUGCCUGCAGCUAACGCAUUAAAGCAAUUCCAGCCUGGGGAGUACGACCGCAAGGUUAAAAACUCAAAGGAUUUUACGGGGGUCCCGNCCCAAGCGGNUGGAAGCAUGUGGUCUUAUUUCUAAGCNAACGCGAAAGAAACCUUACCAGGUCUNUGACAUCUAGUGNCCAACCCNUAGAGAUAGGGUGUUUCCUUCGGGGGAANCACUAAGACAGGUGGUGACAAUGGCUGUCGUCGGUUCGUUGUCCGUGAGANUGUUNGGGAUUAAUUCCCGCAAACGAGCGCAACCCUUAUUACUUAGUUGCCAGCAUUUAGUUGGGNCACUCUAAUGAGACUGCCGGUGACAAACCGGAGGAAGGUGGGGACGACGUCAAGUCAUCAUGCCCCUUAUGACCUGGGCUACACACGUGCUACAAUGGUUAGUACAACGAGGAGCGAACCUGUGAAGGCAAGCGAAUCUCUUAAAGCUAAUCUCAGUUCGGAUUGCACUCUGCAACUCGAGUGCAUGAAGCUGGAAUCGCUAGUAAUCGCGGAUCAGCAUGCCGCGG